CCUGGACAGUGCUCAGCACAGGAGUCUGGGAAGGAAGCGAAGUGCUCUGCCCUGACCUUACAAAGAGCACACUCUAUGCCCUAGAAGGAGCCUGGCAACAUCACAUCUGACAAAGAAGGUGCUUAGAGGAGUCCUAGGAAAUGGAGGCUUUCAUAGGGAGAAGCUGGGCGGGACAAGGAAGGUAUCAGUCAGAAAAAGGGUUGUUUCUGGCAAGGUCACCUUCCCUUAGGGGAACGGCAGGGAGUCCCAUCAGGCAGAUUAUAUCACUCGUGCUGACCGGGAAAUUCCUGAUGGUUUGGCUGAAAACUCAACUCCUGGAGAGACUGAAACUACAGGCUAACCUUCUAAAAGAUUUUUUCAACUUUGUCAAAAAUAAUUACCUACAAGCCAGCUUUGGACACUUUGCAUGCCGGAUCUCCUCCUUUUCCUGUGCUGGUUAUUUGUGGUGACCAUGAAGAAGACCCUGAAUCCCAAAGCCAAGGUGGCCCAAGCCCAGGUGGCACAGGUGGUCAGCAUCAGAGUGGGCCUGGGGCUGCAGAAUGUGCUGAGGACCAGCUUGGGGCCUAAGGAGAAGGCCUUUACGCAGUUAGUAAAAGUAUCAGUCCAUACCAACAGAUGUUGGAAUUCCUUAGACCUUGGCACGUGAGUGAAACCUAAUUGUUAGUCUUUCCUGGAUAGCCUCCAGUUCCUUGGGUGCCUGGGAGAGCAAGUUUGUGGUUGGAAGGAUUGUUUUUAAGACAUACUUUACAGACUGAUACUACUUGUAGAACUGUCCUUGACAAAUUUUUUUCCCAGUAAACAUCCUUUGGACCAUUUGAUAAGUUUUGUCCCUCCCUGAAUGAAAGGCCUUAUGCUGUGUCUUAAUGAUCUUUUAGCCCUGUGAGCUUGGUAAUGCUAAUUGCCCUGCUCUGUUUGUAACUAUUCCAAGGGCUGGAGACAGUGUCUAGGAAUCAGACCCCAGUGUAUUAUUAUUUUUUGGGGGGGAAGAGUAGGUGGGAUUGAGUCUCCUUUAAUAAUUGAUAGAGCAGGCAAACUAUUUUCCU